GGUGUCACGCUGACAGCAGAGGACUUUGUAGUUCUUGUCACUACUUUUGACUAUGGAAUGAAAGACAAGGACCCCAUCAAUAAUGUGUAUUUCUACAACAAGAGAAAUCCUGACAAAGCAUUCAACAUCACCAGAGACCAGGUGUCCAAGCUUCUCCCAGCAUGCUUUUCUGAGCAGCUGAUUGGGGUUUACAGUAAGAAGACUGAUGACCAG